rnacentral:lncRNA from 1 species
GUUUGUGCUGUAUUUAGACCCUUCUACAACGAAAUUUGUUUUACAUGCACACGUAUAAAAAUUGCGGUUUUUAUCCAACGCAAUCAUAGGUUUGAACGUUGUUUUCAAUUAAGACUUGUUUAUAUUUAUUUCGUUUGGGCUUGUAUUCUAUUUUCCCUCCGGUUUAUAUAAUCCGUUCAUCCUAUUUCGACUCUUUUAAAUUCAAGAGUCCAUCCUAAAUUGAGUUAAAUUAUAUGGCCUUCAAAAUACUGUUUCGUUCCCUAAUAUCACUGAAGAGACAUUAAUUGUCGAAAUCCGGAUAUGGUGUAAAAUAAAUAAAUAAAAAAAAAAUAGCACCUCAUGUUUGUGGUUUACCAUCUUUGCCGCAAGUUUAUUGUUUUCUGUUUGUUAUUUAAUAAUUAUAAGAUCCAUUUUGUUACAUCGUGUGAUCAAUUUAUUUGGCAAUCGCCAAUGGCAGUUAGCAGGGUUUAAGAACAUCAGUUGUUCGACCUGUAAGUCAAAUGCGUUUUGUUAAAAUAUACUUUUUCACUGUUUUUG